GAGCGCGAGUCUUUUCCCGCCGUUUUCCGCUCAGCGCGGGAGCCGCCAUGGAGCUUCUCCGGCCUUGGCUCGUCCCGUUCCUGCUGCCCGAGCAUUGCUUCGACCAAUUCUUCCUGCGCUUUCAACUCCUCGAUGUUCCGUGCUUUAAAAUCCUCCUGAGCAAAGUUUUGGGCUACGGCAUCGUGGCGGGAUCCGUCCUGGUAAAGGUCCCGCAGCUGCUGAAGGUUUGGGGGUCCCUGGGGGGGUUUUAGGGGCAAUUUUGGGGUAAUUUUGAAGGAUUUUGGGGUAUUUUGGGGGG